UGUGUGUGUGUGUGUGUGUGUGUGCAUACAUACACACACACAUGAGCAUGGGCACGUGUGACAGAGACCAUAAGAGAGUUCAGAUCCCCUGGAGCUGGAGUUACAAGUUAUUAUAAUCUGCCAGAUGUGGAUUCUGGGAACCAAGCUCAGGUCCUCCACAAGAACAGCCAGUGCUCUUAACCCCUGGGCCAGCUCUCCAAUCUCCCUGUGAAUUUUUACAGGAUUGUGCUAGACCUGGGACAGUCUGGAGGCAGGUGGCUGUGUCAACGACUAAUCCUCACUCCUUCCGGCACUGAACUAGUGGUCCCCAGCAGGUGUGUGAUAAUAGACUGUUGUCUGUAUAAAGCAGUGAGUGAGUGAGUGAGUGAGUGAAUGAGUGAGUGAGUGAAUAAGUGAAUGAGUGAGUGAGUGAGUGAAUGAGUGAAUGAAUGAGUGAGUGAGUGAAUGAGUGAGUGAGUGGGUGAGUGAAUGAAUGAGUGAAUGAGUGAAUGAGUGAGUGAGUGAAUGAGUGAAUGAAUGAGUGAGUGAGUAAGUGAAUGAAUGAGUGAAUGAUUGAGUGAGUGAGUGAAUGAUUGAAUGAAUGAAUGAGUGAAUGAUUGAGUGAGUGAGUGAAUGAUUGAAUGAAUGAAUGAGUGAGUGAGUGAGUGAAUGAGUGAGUGAGUGAAUGAGUGAGUGAGUGAGUGAAUGAGUGAGGGAGGAAAUGAAUGAAUGAAUGAGUGAGUGAGUGAGGGAAUGAAUGAGUGAGUGAGUGAAUGAGUGAGUGAGGGAAUGAAUGAAUGAGUGAGUGAGUGAGUGAGGGAAUGAGUGAGAGAAUGAGUGAGUGAGUGGUGAGUGAAUGAAUGAGGGAGGGAGGGAGGGAAUUAAUGAAUGAAUGAGUGAGUGAGUGAGUGAGUGAAUGAAUGAGUGAGUGAGUGAGCAAGUGAGUGAGUGAGUGAGUGAGUGGUGAGUGAAUGGGUGAGUGAAUAAGUGAAUGAGUGAGUGAGGGAGGGAAUGAAUGAGUGAGUGAAUGAGUGAGUGAGGGAAUGAAUGAAUGAGUGAGUGAGCGAGUGAGUGAACCAGUGGCCCAUGUCUCCCCUGAGACAGUGGAGGGAUAUGUCGAGUACAUGCGUAUUGGAUGCUGCUCCAAACACCUGACUUGCCAGGAGCAGCCAGCUGAGUGGAGGGCAUGAUUCACUGCGAAGGGGACAAGGAGAGCGAAAGUCAUGUCUUGUGGGGUGGAGGGAUCACAUGCAGCAUCCAGACCUAGUGGAGACCUGUCUUUUGUUUCUUUUUUCUUUCCUUUUUAACCAGACAGGGGAUCAAACUCAUAGCAAACACUCUGCCUCUGAGCUAUAUCCCCAGCCCUGGCUUUGGGGAGCUGCCACAGGACGACAAGGCCCUAACCACUUGGAAGUCUUGCACUAUCCCCUUGAGAUGUGGGUUCUGAAAGGGCCUCUGAUGGGCUUCAAAUGGUCCAGAGACCCUUCCUUGCCCAAAAAUCGUCAGGUGCCUGUCCUAACAGUCCUGUGAGGACCUUACCUAAUGACAGGCUGAAGAGUGGACCUCAGAGCCAAACAUGGGUUCUGAUUUUGCAAGAAAAGGAGAAAAAUGCUGGGCAGAUCAAAAUAACUUGUGUCCUCUACCCACUGGAAAGUUCCACAGUGACAAAAGAUGAGUGUCUGAAUCAAGAUCAGGGGUUUCACAAAGCCAGGAAGUGGCAGAGACUGAUGCCCUCCAAUUUCUCCUUCAAAACCUUCUUUAAUACAGAACGCUAUUCUGAGGCUGGAAGUUUCCUCAAAACCCAGGCAAGUGAAAAUAUCACUGCCAAAGGGACCAGAUACAUAUGUCCUGCUGCCAACACUUGAGCUCCCUGUAGGAACAGUCCACAGAAAGCCAAAUCAAAUCAGAGUGAUGCUUGGUCAAGACUCACUAUGACUGAAGCCUUGAGCACACAAAGUGAGGAGGGAAGAAUGAGAAGAGCCUGACAAGCAUGAAGUUCUGGGUUCAAAUCCCACCACCACAGAGAGAGGAGGAACCAGAGAGGGACUCUAGGAGGAGGGUGAGUAUAGAGGAGGUGGGAGGAAACAGGAUGUGGGGUGGGCAACCCUGGGGCCCUCUUGCCUGCAGCUCCUAAAAGAACAGCCUCUUCCGUAGGGCCCUGGGCCCUCUGGUUUGUUCUCCACCCCCGGCCUCCACAGUCCAAACCAGGCUGAAUCACUGCCCCUGAAGCCUUCCAGGUGUCCCUUUGUAUAAAGAUCCAAAUUCCUAAGAACACCAGGUGAAGCCCUUCACAUGGCCCCAACUUUUCUUUCCAGGCUUAGAGACUUAGAUUCCAAUUCUGGUCUACCACAGCUUUGGUUGUCAGAUCCUUUGGCCUGUCUGGACCUGGCUCCUCAUCUGUGGAAGAGACAGGGAUGCUGACUCUGUAAAGGGGUCUUCUGAUGACGAACCAUGCAUACGUUAUAAUAAUAGUACAAUGACAUCGUAACAGUGCUUAGAAAUACAAUUUUCCUGGGCUGGUGAGAGGGCAUCAGCUGAUAAAGGCACUUGCAAUCAAGCCUGACUAUCGGGGUUCAGUACCCUGCACCGAUCGGCUAGAAGAGGAAAACCAGCACCUAAAAGAUGUCAUCUGGCCUCCCACGUGAGCACUCCCACACACACCUACAGAUACACAAAUAAAUAAAUGCAACUUUAAAAUUUUAAUAUAAUCAUUUCUACUAGAAUGUAAAUAUAAAAACUAAAAUCUUGAAGCAACUUGAAGCCCCCCAAUCAGGAAGCAAGGGUGGUAGCCACAACCUCUCUGGGGCAGAAUUUUAAAGCCUAAGGAUAUGGUAUAUCUACUCUGUCACACAAAGCCUUAUGUGGCCCUGGCGAGACCAUGCAGUGAAAUAAACACAUGUGAUGACCAGGAGGGUACAGCUCAGGACGCUGAGCUCUGCUACCCUACAGCUGUGUGACAUACAGCAAGUUACAAUUAGGGAUCACCUACUGUCCCUGAGAGUAUGUGACUACUGCAAGCCCUUUCCUCUUAGUCCCUAGGACAGCAGGCCGUAUGGGAAGAGAGAUUGGACAAGAGGUGCUGGCCAAAGCAAAAAGGGGAAACUGAGGCCUCCUGUAGCAAGCAUGCUAGGUGUUCCAUGAAUUUCUAUAUCCACCCCAGCCAGGCAAGAAGCAUGGACGCCAGCUCCACGUUCUUGGCAUUUGCCCUGCUCUGUAGACAGCUGAGAAAGGCGCUCAGAGAAGGAAGAGUCUGAGGAAGGUUCCGGAACACGUGGCCAGCUGCUUCUCCCAUCAGCAGCUCUUAAACAAACAGCGUGCUUCCUCCGUUUGCAAGUCCUGGGGACCGCACAUGAGGAAUUUUUUUUCUCUCCUCCUUUUUUUGCUGAUUAAGUUCCCCCAAAACCCCCUUAAGAAUUUUAAUAAGAAAUGCAAAAAUCAACAAAAGUGCAGCAAAGCCUUUCCUGUUAUUAAAUAAGGGAAAGCAAAUAUUGCAGAUCGGACAUAUUUCAUAAGAGGAUGUUAUGUUUGGGUGGGAAAAAAUGACAGAGAAAAGAAAGGGCUAAUUUGCUUUCUGGCAGCAAAUGUCUUUGCUGAAAUUUGGUUUCAAAUCUGAUGACUGGGGCAUUAUCACCGGCUUGCCUGGAAUUUAGGCCUUUGACAUAUGAGAUGUAUGUGCUCCAAUAAGCAGGAAAACUGGGGUUUGGACCUCUAUACUGUAGCAGAGAAGAGAAUUCUGUAGCCACCCAGGAAAUUAUGAUCCUUCAGGGACUACAUGUAAGGCAAAAGCAACCUGGAACAAAGAACACUUGGGUUUUGAGAGAGAGAAAACAAGGUAAACGCUCUCUAUAAUACCUUUUUAGACAGAGGAGUGAACUAAACUGCUGACGUUCUGGUCUCAGCACAGGGAGAGGGCCUGCUGCUGCUGGACAAGGCUUUGACCACUGCCUCAGCUUCUUCUCUGUGUCACCUAAGGUAAAGUGCAUAGCUGUUGUGACUCUCACUUUCCUCAUCUUUAAGAUGGAGAGGAAUCCAUGGAAAGAUAGCUUAAUGGGUAAGAGCUCUUAGUCGGUCAGAGCACUGACUGUUCUUGCAGAAGACCCUGGUUCAGUUCCCAGCACCCAUAUAGCAAGCAGCUCACAACUGCCUGUAACUCCAGUGCCAGGGGAAUCCAACAUUCUCUUCUGGCUUCACAGACAUGGCACUCCUGUGAUGUACAUAAACACACACAGGCAAGCGCACACACAUAUAAAACAAAUAAAACCUAAGAAGAAUAAAAAUGAAUGAAUGAAUG
rnacentral:lncRNA from 1 species